rnacentral:misc_RNA from 1 species
UCCGGUUUAUCACCGGCAGUCCCUGCAGAGUCCUCGCCUUUACGCGUUAGCAACAGCCAUGCAGCACCUGUAUACCGACCUUGCGGGGGCUACAUCUCUGCAGCUUUCCGGCAUAUGUCAAACCCAGGUAAGGUUCUUCGCGUUGCAUCGAAUUAAUCCGCAUGCUCCGCCGCUUGUGCGGGCCCCCGUCAAUUCCUUUGAGUUUUAGCCUUGCGGCCGUACUCCCCAGGCGGGGCGCUUAAUGCGUUAGCUGCGGCACGGAACUCGUGGAAUGAGUCCCACACCUAGCGCCCAACGUUUACGGCGUGGACUAC